UACGUAGGGACCAAGCGUUGUUCGGAUUUACUGGGCGUAAAGAGCGCGCAGGCGGUCGUUCAAGUCGCGUGUGAAAGCCCCCGGCUCAACUGGGGAGGGUCACGCGAUACUGAUCGACUGGAAGGCAGGAGAGGGUAGUGGAAUUCCCGGUGUAGUGGUGAAAUGCGUAGAUAUCGGGAGGAACACCGGUGGCGAAGGCGGCGACCUGGGUCGACACUGACGCUGAGGCGCGAAAGCGUGGGGAGCAAACAGG
rnacentral:rRNA from 1 species